AUGAGCAUCUGCCUCCUGUGCUGUGUGGCCAUUUGUCUUCUGCAGGUAGGUCCAGUGAAUGCUGGUGUCACUCAGGAACCAGAAUUUCAGGUCCUGAGAACAGGACAGAGCAGGACCCUGCAAUGUAGCCAGGAUCUGGACCACGACUAUAUGUACUGGUACCGACAAGACCUGGGACACGGGCUGAAGCUGAUCCACUACUCAGCUGGCACUGGCACCACCAGCAAAGGAGACAUCCCCGAGGGAUACAGCGUUUCCAGACCAAAUCUCGAGAGCUUCCCUCUCAUGCUGGAGUCCGCCACCCCCUCCCAGACAUCUGUGUACUUCUGUGCCAGCAGUGACUCCACGGUGCUGCAUGGCCACCUCCUCUCUGCACAGAAACUCAGCGGAGCCCCUUGCAAACUCUUAGCACCACGAACCCCUGAGCCCAGCCGCCCCAUGAGCAGAAAGAUGCUAUCCCAGCUCUGA